UGGGGAAUAUUGGACAAUGGGCGCAAGCCUGAUCCAGCCAUGCCGCGUGAGUGAUGAAGGCCUUAGGGUUGUAAAGCUCUUUUAGCAGGGAAGAUAAUGACGGUACCUGCAGAAAAAGCCCCGGCUAACUUCGUGCCAGCAGCCGCGGUAAUACGAAGGGGGCUAGCGUUGCUCGGAAUUACUGGGCGUAAAGCGCACGUAGGCGGACUCUUAAGUCGGUGGUGAAAUCCUGGAGCUCAACUCCAGAACUGCCUUCGAUACUGGGAGUCUUGAGUUCGGGAGAGNUGAGUUGAACGGCGAGUGUAGAGGUGAAAUUCGUAGAUAUUCGCAAGAACACCAGUGGCGAAGGCGGCUCACUGGCCCGAUACUGACGCUGAGGUGCGAAAGCGUGGGGAGCAAACA
rnacentral:rRNA from 1 species